AUUGAACGCUGGCGGCGUGCCUAACACAUGCAAGUCGAGCGGUAACAGGUGUAGCAAUACAUGCUGACGAGCGGCGGACGGGUGAGUAACGCUUGGGAAUCUGCCUAUUAGUGGGGGGACAACCCGGGGAAACUCGGGCUAAUACCGCAUACGCUCUACGGAGGAAAGCCGGGGACCGCAAGGCCUGGCGCUAAUAGAUGAGCCCAAGUCGGAUUAGCUAGUUGGUAGGGUAAUGGCCUACCAAGGCGACGAUCCGUAACUGGUCUGAGAGGACGACCAGUCACACCGGAACUGAGACACGGUCCGGACUCCUACGGGAGGCAGCAGUGGGGAAUAUUGCGCAAUGGGCGAAAGCCUGACGCAGCCAUGCCGCGUGUGUGAAGAAGGCCUGGUUGUAAG
rnacentral:rRNA from 1 species